rnacentral:rRNA from 1 species
CCCUUAGAUGUUCUGGGCCGCACGCGCGCUACACUGACGAAUGCAACGAGCUUAUAACCUUGGCCGAAAGGUCUGGGUAAUCUCCAAAUUUCGUCGUGAUGGGGAUAGAUUAUUGCAAUUAUUAAUCUUCAACGAGGAAUGCCUAGUAAGCGCAAGUCAUCAGCUUGCGUUGAUUACGUCCCUGCCCUUUGUACACACCGCCCGUCGCUCCUACCGAUUGAAUGGUCCGGUGAAGCGCUCGGACCGCGGCCUCUUGACGGUUCGCUGUCGAUUGGCUGCGGGAAGUUCGUUAAACCUUAUCAUUUAGAGGAAGGAGAAGUCGUAACA